CCUACGGGAUGCAGCAGUGGGGAAUAUUGCACAAUGGGCGCAAGCCUGAUGCAGCCAUGCCGCGUGUAGGAAGAAGGCCUUCGGGUUGUAAAGUACUUUCAGCGGGGAGGAAGGCGAUAAGGUUAAUAACCUUGUCGAUUGACGUUACCCGCAGAAGAAGCACCGGCUAACUCCGUGCCAGCAGCCGCGGUAAUACGGAGGGUGCAAGCGUUAAUCGGAAUUACUGGGCGUAAAGCGCACGCAGGCGGUCUGUAAAGUCGGACGUGAAAUCCCCGGGCUCAACCUGGGAACUGCAUUCGAAACUGGCAGGCUAGAGUCUUGUAGAGGGGGGUAGAAUUCCAGGUGUAGCGGUAAAAUGCGUAGAGUUCUGGAGGAAUACCGGUGGCGAUGGCGGCCCCCUGGACAAAGACUGACGCUCAGGUGCGAAAGCGUGGGAAGCAAACAGGAUUAGAUAUCCCGGUAGUC
rnacentral:rRNA from 1 species